rnacentral:misc_RNA from 1 species
AUGCGAUAAGUAAUGUGAAUUGCAGAAUUCAGUGAAUCAUCGAAUCUUUGAACGCACCUUGCGCUCCUUGGUACUCCGAGGAGCAUGCCUGUUUGAGUGUCAUGAAAUUCUCAACCUUUCUGGCUUUUACAAAGUUGGUCAGGCUUGGAUUGUGGGGGUUGCUGGCUUCUAAAGUCAGCUCUUCUAAAAUACAUUAGCAAGAUCAUUGCUGCUCAUCACUGGUAUGAUAAUUAUCUAUACUAUUGAUGAGUCGGUUUCCUUUAUGGAGGAUUUUGCUCCUAGCUGUCUUUCAUUAAGACAAUACUUGACCAUUUUGACCUCAAAUCAGGUAGGACUACCCGCUGAACUUAA